CCGAUCUGGCCUCAGAGAUCGAUAUCGACGAGUCCGAAUACAGACGGGAGCUGCUUAAUGACAAAUGGCGACUGCUUUUCGACAAGUUUGAUCCAGAGGGUUUUGGAGAGAUACCGCUGGAGGACUUCCUAGCAGCUUUGAGGAGCCCCGAAUGGAAGACAGAGAUACCGGCAAACAAACGUGACAU